rnacentral:lncRNA from 1 species
GUUGGUCCCCGGUUCCGGGCCAGGCGGCAGCAGCGGCGGCAUCACCGGUAUCGGCAUCACCGGUAUCGGCACCGGUAGAGCAGCAGCAUCGCGGCGCACUGCGGAGCGGAGCGAGCCGCGAUGUGACCCCGGGGCCGCUGUGGAACCGGACCCCCCCCCCCCCCCGCAACAUCCCGCAUCCCCUGCGGGGCCCGAGGAGGAGAUGACGCCCCCCCCGCGCCGUGCGCUGCCCGCCGCAGAUGAGACCCCCCGACCAGGUUGGAACCUUCCCGACCAUCCACAGCGGCCCCGAUGGGGCCCCCUGCGGUUGGAGCCAAGCUGCUGCAUCAUUUUCCAUCCCUGGUGUCCGUCCCCCCCCGGGCAAUUAGUAAAGAGGCUUCAAUUUGUUUCUGAUUUCUA